ensembl:misc_RNA Metazoa_SRP Metazoan signal recognition particle RNA
GCCAGGCGCAGUGGCUCAACCCUGUAGUCCCGGCUACUCAGGAGGCUGAGGUGGGAGGAUUGCUUGAGUCCAGGAGUUCUGGGCUGUAGUGCACUAUGCCGAUCGGGUGUCUGCACUAAGUUUGGCAUCAGUAUGGUGACCUCCCAGGAGUGGGGGACCACCAGGUUGCCUAAGGAGGGGUGAACUGGCCCAGGUUGGAAAUGGAGCAGGUCACAACUCCCAUGCUGAUCAGUAGUGGGAUAGCGCCUGUGAAUAGCCACUGCACUCCAGCCUGGUCAACAGAGCCAGACCCCGUCUUUU